rnacentral:rRNA from 1 species
UACGUAGGGGGCUAGCGUUGUCCGGAAUCAUUGGGCGUAAAGCGCGUGUAGGCGGCCCGGUAAGUCCGCUGUGAAAGUCGGGGGCUCAACCCUCGAAUGCCGGUGGAUACUGUCGGGCUAGAGUGCGGAAGAGGCGAGUGGAAUUCCUGGUGUAGCGGUGAAAUGCGCAGAUAUCAGGAGGAACACCAAUUGCGAAGGCAGCUCGCUGGGACGCUACUGACGCUGAGACGCGAAAGCGUGGGGAGCAAACAGG